UACGUAGGGGGCAAGCGUUGUCCGGAUUUAUUGGGCGUAAAGGGCUCGUAGGCGGUUUGUCGCGUCGGGAGUGAAAACCCAGGGCUUAACCCUGGGCUGGCUUUCGAUACGGGCAGACUAGAGGUAUGCAGGGGAGAACGGAAUUCCUGGUGUAGCGGUGAAAUGCGCAGAUAUCAGGAGGAACACCAAUGGCGAAGGCAGCACUCUGGGACGGUACUGACGCUGAGACGCGAAAGCGUGGGGAGCAAACAGG
rnacentral:rRNA from 1 species